CGUGUGUUGGUUUCGACCGGCAUACGCGUGUUAUGUCAAACUUCCAAGAAAAUCUCGUACAUCUGUUAAUCACGAAAUCACCUGUACCUGAAACCGACACAGGUAGGUUGGUAGAGAAUACCAAGGGGCGCGAGAGAACUCUCCUUAAGGAACUCGGCAAAUUAGCCCCGUAACUUCGGAAGAAGGGGUACCCUUGCAAGAGGGUCGCAGUGAACAGGCCCAGGCGACUGUUUACCAAAAACACAGGUCUCCGCUAAGUCGUAAGACAAUAUAUGGGGGCUGACGCCUGCCCAGUGCCGGAAGGUUAAGGAAGUUGGUUCGGGCAUUCGCUCAAAGCUGACGACCGAAGCCCCGGUGAACGGCGGCCGUAACGAUAACGGUCCUAAGGUAGCGAAAUUCCUUGUCGAGUAAGUUUCGACCUGCACGAAAGGCGUAACGAUCUGGGCACUGUCUCAAGGAGAGGCUCGGUGAAAUAGGAUUGUCUGUGAAGAUGCGGACUACUUACACCAGGACAGAAAGACCCUAUGAAGCUUGACUGUAUCCUGGAAUGGGGUUUGGGCUUUUCUUGCGCAGUCUAGGUGGGAGGCGUUGAAGGGUAGGUUCCGGCCUAUCUGGAGCCAACAGUGAGAGACCACUCUGGAAAGGCUAGAAUCCUAAUUGCGAUCCUUGAAUCAGGACGCUUGACAGUUUCAGGUGGGCAGUUUUUCUGGGGCGGAAACCUCCUAAAAGGUAACGGAGGUGUGCAAAAGUUCCCUCAGCCUGGACGGAAAUCAGGCAGCGAGUGCAAAGGCAGAAGGGAGCUUGACUGCGAGACUGACACGUCAAGCAGGGGCGAAAGCCGGCCUUAGUGAUCCGACGGUGCCGCGUGGAAGGGCCGUCGCUCAACGGAUAAAAGUUACUCUAAGGAUAACAGGCUAAUCUUCCCCAAGAGUUCACAUCGACGGGAAGGUUUGGCACCUCGAUGUCGGCUCAUCACAUCCUGGGCGGUAGUACGUCCCAAGGGUUGGGCUGUUCGCCCAUUAAAGUGGUACGUGAGCUGGGUUCAGAACGUCGUGAGACAGUUCGGUCCAUAUCCGGUGUAAGCGCUGGAGCAUUGAAGGGAGUCGACUCUAGUACGAGAGGACCGAGUUGAGCAGACCUCUGGUGUAUCUGUUCUCACGCCCGUGGGAAACGCAGAGUAGCUACGUCUGUCGCAGAGACACGCUGAAAGCAUCUAAGCAUAAAACUGACCCUAAGAUGAGUGCUCCCUAUUAGGCCGCGGCCAGACUAGCCGUUUGAUAGGUGUUAAGUAUAAGGUUCGUAAGGACUUCAGCUGAGACAUCCUAAAGGCCCAUC
rnacentral:rRNA from 1 species